CAAAUGGUAUAUCUAAUAAUGGGUUAAUAUCCAAAAUAUGUAAGGAAUCUAUACAACUCAAUACUAAACAAACAAACAAGCAAAACAAUCCAAUUAAAAAAAUGGAUAGGGGACCUGAAUAGACAUUUUUCCAAAGAAAACAUACAGAAAGUCAAGAGACACAUGAAAAGAUGCUCAACAUUACUAAUCAUCAGGGAAAUGUAAAUUAAAACCACAAGGAGAUAUCACCUUACACCUAAAUGGCUAAAACCAAAUACACAAGAGACAAGUGUUAACAAGGAUAUGGAGAAAAAGGAACCUUGUGUACUACUGGUAGAAAUGUAAAUUUAUACAGCCACUGUGGAAAGCAGUAUGGAGGUUCCUCCAAAUUAACAAUAGAAAUACCAUAUUAUCUAAUAAUCCCACUCUUUGGGUAUUUACCUAAAGAACAUGGCAACACUAAUUUGAGAAGAUACAUGCAUCCCUAUGUUCAUUUUAACAUUAUUUACAAUAACCAAGUUAUGGAAGCAACUUAAGUGUCUACCAGUAUAUGAAUGGAUAAAUAACAUGUGGUAUGUAUAUACAUACACACACAUGCACACAUAUGCAGUGGAACAUUACACAGCCACAGAGAAAGGAUGACAUCUUGCCAUGUGCAACAAUAUGGUUGGAGCAAGAGGGUAUUAUGCUAAGUAAAAUAAGUAAGACUGAGAAAGACAAAUACCAUAUGAUUUCACUCACAUGUGGAAUAUAAAAAAAAAAAAAAAACAAAAAACAAGUGAAUAAACAAACAAAAAGCAGAAUCAGAGAACAAACUGAUGGUUGCCAGAGGAAAGAGAGUUGGUGAGGAUGGGCAAAAUGAGUGGGGAGUGGGAGAUACAGGCUUCCAGUUAGGGAAUGAAUAAGUCACAGGAAUUAAAGACAUAAGGGAAUAUUUUCAGUGAUAUUAUAAUAGUGUCAUAUGGUGAGAGAUGGUAGGUACACUUGUGAAUGUAUAAUGUAUAGAGAUGUACCUGAAACUAAUGCAACACUGUAUGUCGACUAUACUCAGAUAAAUAAAUUAAAAAUAAAUACAUUAUAAUUAAAAUAAUGGAAAAAAGAUGCAAGGAAGGAUUCUUGAGGUUGGUUUAUUCAGGGGUUCAACAACAAUAUCAGCCUCCCAUCUUUUACUUCAGCUUAUUGACUUUCUUCUCAGAUUGGUAUGGUUCAAGGUAUUAUAUACAGACAUGCUAAUAUCCAGUGGAAGACAUUGUCUCUUCUUCUUAAAAAAAUUUUUUUAAAUGUUUAUUUUUGAGAGAAAGAGAAAGAGAAUGAGAGAGAGAACGAGCAGGUUGGGGGCAGAGAGAGAUGAAAACACAGAAUCCCAAGCAGGCACCAGGCUCUGAGCUGUCAGCACAGAGUCCAGAGUGGGGCUCAAACUCACAAGCCAUGAGAUCAUGACCUGAGCCAAAGUCAGAUGCUUAACCAACUGAGCCACCCAGGCACCCCUGUCUCUUCUUCUUUAUAAGAAUAAAAUAUUUACCCAAUAAAUAUCCCAUUUUGUCUCAUUGGCCAUGAUGGGGUCACAUGCCAACCCAUAACCAGUCACUGGCAAGAGGAAUAGAAUUACCAAGGUUGACUUAGACUAAUCCGAAUUUGUAAAUGAAGUUCUAUUAACUAGAAUAAAUAAGUUUGCUCUGCCCAACUGGGAUAUAGUGAGACAGGCAAUACACAUGGCUGGUAGGGGUUUAAAAGGAACACAAUUUCUGGAAUUCAAAAUGUCCAUACCAUUUGACAUAGUAAUUUCACUUCUAUAAACAAAGUCCAUGGAAAGUAUACCCUAAAUUUAUCUAAAUUUAGAUGAAGCUUUAUGCCAAAAUAUGUUCAUAUGUUCACUGCAUCAGCUUUUAUAAUGGGGAAAAAAGAAAGAAAGCCAACUUAAGGAUCCAAUAAUAGAGAAACAGUUGCAUAAUUAUGGUAAAUUCAUAUAAUGGACUAUUGUCUAGCAUUUUCAUGUGUUUGGGAAACAAGAAAAAAUACUGUUUCUUAUGAAUCUAAAGAUAGGUUAGUGUUAAAUUUUGGUUAAUUCAAAAAAAUUUGGUUAAUUCAGCCCUUCAGUGAUAUCAUUAAGAAAUCAAGUUUUUUCUGCCUUUCUGUUUGUUUUCUGUAGUAUGUGAGCUGGUUCUCAAGUUGGCUACCUCAUUUUCAGGCAUCAGUGACUUUCAAAGUCAGGAAAAGGGCAGUAUUAAUGCCAUUGCGUUAAUCCUUUCCAGCAGAGUCCCUCACAAGACAAUCUGUUAUUGAAUCCUUGUUUAGAACUGCUUCUCAUGCCCAUGCCUAAAUCAAGUAUUGAGGAGGGGAGUGGGAUUACAAUAGGCGUACCUCUUAUAAAUUUAAAAAUGGGAGGGAACUGGCCUUCCCUGAAUCACCGUAUGUAUAGUCAGAUAAGACUUAAAUCAUGGCUUUGUUAAAAGAAAAUAGGGGAUUUUUUGCCUGUUGGGUAGGCAGCCAAGUAUGUCUGCCAUAUUGGUGACUAGUGUAUGCUGGAGAAUAGAGACUGAAGCUCUGAUUAUGCAUAGUCCUACUGUAUAGGCUCCUUCUCCAUAAUCACAGUCCAUCCAUGACUUGUUGAUAUGGCUGUAGUUUGGUACCACUCCAUAUGGUGUUAUUAGUUCCUCUUCAGUCCUUUCUCAGAGCUCAUAUUUUUACUUUCUCCAUUGUUCUUUCUUCCUUUAUGAUGUUCCAAGAUCCCUUCUUUUAUGAUUUCCUUUCUUCUUUAAUUUCCUUUCUCCUUUACGCAUUCUUUUAGAAAUGGUUGUUUUGCUAGCAACAAAUGUUUGCUGGCAACAAAUUCUUAGUUUCCUUGUUUCUGACAAUAUCUUGAUUUCCCUCUUCACUCCUGAAAGAUAUUUUUGCUAGAUAAAAAAUUCCAGGGGGCACCUGGGUGGCUUAGUUGGUUGAGCUUCCAACUCUGGAUUUUGGCUCAGGUCACAAUCUCAUGGUUCGUGAGUUUGAGCCCCACAUUGGGCUCCACACUAGUGUGGAGCCUGCUUGGGAUUCUCUCUCUCUCUCUCUCUCUCUCUCUCUCUCUCUGUGCCCCUUCCUGUUCACAUUUUCUCUUUCAAAAUAAAUAAACUUAAACAAAAUCUAGGUAAGCAGUUAUAUUCUUUUAAUGUGUCAAUUCCUUCUGGAUUCUUUGAUUUUUUAUGAGAAAAUUUUUGUCAUUCUGUUUUCCCCCUAAAAGUAAGGUGUCAUUUCUCUCCAGCUAUUUUAAAGAUAUUUUUCUUUGUAGCUUUUAGAAGUUUGACUAUGAUGCGUCUCAGCUUGAAUUUCUUAGAGUUUAUCUUAUUUGGUGUUCGCUAACCUCUUGAAUAUACAGGUUUAUGUCUUCUGCCAAACUUGGGAACUUUUUAGACGUUGUUUCUUUGAAUACUUGUUUAGCCUUCCCUUUUGUUCCCUUCUCUUUCUGGAACUUGAUAAUAUGAAUGUUAGAUCCUUUGUUAUAGCCCCAUACGUUCCUGUGGCUCUUCAUUUUUUUUUUUUUUUCCUCUUGGUCAGAUUAGGUAAUUUAUACUGUUUUUGACUUGUCCUUUCUUCAUUUUUUUUUUCAUUCUGCUGUUGAAUGUAUCCAUUGGGUUUUUCAUUUCAGUUAUUCUUUUUUCAGUUCUAUUUUGACUAUUAGUUUUUCUAUAAAUUCUUGGUCUUUACUGAGACUUCCAAUUUUUUCUGUUUGUGUCCAUAAUUGAUCACUGAAGCAUUUUUAUUAAGCUGAUCAAAAGUCCUUAUCAGGUAAUUCCAACAGCCUUGUCAUCUUAGUGUUGUUGGUAUUGGUGUUGGUAUUAGUGUGUUGGUAUUGGUAUUUACAUUGUUUUUUUCUCAUUAAUAUGGAAAUUUUCUUGGUUCUUGAUAUCAUAUGUGAUUUGGUAUUAUAUCUUGGACAUUUAGGUAUUAUUUUAUGAGACCUGGAUUUAAUUUAAAUCUUCUUAUCAGGCCUCCUUUGAUACCACACUGGCAGGGGUAAUUAGGUGCCAUCUUAUUACUUUCAGGUGAGGGUAGAAGUCUAGGUGUCCUAUUUAGCCUCCUAUGGCAUCCCAGGGGUGUGCCUCCUUACUGCUGCACAGGGCUGGGAAAACAGGGAUUUAUUUUUUUUCAUGCAUGUAGUGAGAGAGAUGCAUCUACUCACUUUUUUAGACUUGUUAUUUCUUUAUAGAUUUAAUUCGUUAGAUCUCCUUUGUUAUAUAAAUCAAGGAUAUAUUAUUAUAAACUGGGAUAUGUCUUUCAUGUUAUGAUGAAUGCUAGAAUGAAAAACACUUUUGCUAAUGCUCAUUUACCUGAGUACUGUUAUUCAGGUUUGACCACAGCUCUAUCAGAGAGGAUAUGUUUUUCCUAUACCCUCUUAUGUUCAAUACAUGAAGGCACGUGAAUCAGACUAAAUGAAGAUUGACAGAAUGAAAGGUACACAAUUUUUAUAAAUGUUUGUGUGUGUGGGAGUUUUUAGAAAAGGAAUAAAAGUAAAAGAAGCAGUUAAGGUGUCAAAUUCUUGUCUUAGAUGCUAAGAAUUGCUCUUUCCCUGGUAUAUGGAACAGAUACCUUCCUCACAGGGAAAUUUAUUGUCUGCUUUUGGGCAGAUAAGGGAAAGGCAGAGAAUUCUUCACGUAUUUGUUGAUUCUCAUUUGACUUUAGAUCAAAAUAGUCUUUUUGGCAAAGUGGCUUAUUGUGGAAUGGUAUAUUCUGAUCUUUUUGCCAGAGCAGCUUAUUGUGGAGUAGUAUAUCCCAUCCGCUUCAGCUCCAAGAAGCACGUCAGUGUUAGGUCAGUUGUAAAAGGGCAACACGCUUCUUCCCAUGCCAUGCCACUUUUCCACAGUUACCAAGUUAUUUAUAUUCACAUUUAAAAUUUUAUAGUUUUUUAUAUUCCUUACUAAUGGAAGGAAUGAUAAGAAUCACAGAAUUUAGAAUAAAGUUUAUUUUUUCAUACAUCUUUUUUUUAAAUGAACUUAUAAAACUUAUAAAAAACAGUUCAUGUGGAAAGAAAAUAUAAUUUUCAGUUACAGUGGAUCAUAUCUGUUGUAAUGAUAUUUGUUAUUAAUGUCUCUGAAACCAAAUGUAGACUUUUCAAGGUUUAAGUUUACAUUUGAACCAUAGUAACAUCAAAUAUGCUGCAUCAGGCCAUUAAACCUCUGUUACUAGCUUGAAGAACUCAGACUCUUUGGAAUUAUUCUUAAAUGUUUAAGAGAAGAGUUAAGACCAGUUUUCAUCAAAAUGCUUUGCCAGUAAAUGAGAUUAAUAAACUAGCUCAAUACAAUCCUAUAAAGUACUCAGUUUUAGAAAGUUAGAAAACAAUGGUUGUAAGUAUAGAUAUUCAGUGACUAAAAAGACAUUGUAGCAAAUAUAAUUCCUCUAAAUUAAUCAUUGUGGUUACUCUAUGAAGAAGAAGAGUAGCUUGAGAACAAUGCACAUUGUAUACAUAGUUAAGAAAAGUAUGGUCUCAGAGUUAUCGAUGAAGUACUCCCAUGGGGAAAUUAGAGGCCAUUUAACCAAUCAGAUCCAAGAUAAAAUAACUACUUGAAUUCCUAAAGAAGGAAUGUUCCUGUGUUUGCCCUUUUGAUGAUGGUUUUGGCAGUGUGGUACUUGUGCAUACUUCCUAUGGAAUGUCAGCUAUUCACAAUCUAAUGGGAAGUUCUAUUUUUAUAGGUGCACUGAGUUUUCUUCUAAUGGAAUAGUUUUCCCUUUCUAAAAAGCAAAACAGAAGAGGCAGUGAGUUCCAUUAAAAAAAAAAGUUUCUUCUUGCUAUUUUAAAUUUACAUUUUUCAUGUAGGUAUCCAUCCACCAUUUCCAACUAUAAAGCAUUAGUAAUUCCUUUUGCAAACAGACUCAGGAAUCAGUGGGAAAGACUUGCAUGAAACCAAAGACCUCUUCACAGCAAAUAAUGAAUCCUUCUCCUUCAGGGUUUAUGCCUAGCAGGAUUUUCAGGCACACCUCGGGAACUCUGGGAGAUAAGAGAUGUGGAUUUAUCUGAAAUCUAAGGGAAGGCUGGGCAAGGAAGUAAUGGAGCUAGAAUUAUAGUCCCUAAGGGAAAGGCCAACAGACAGAGCCAUUGGCCUUAGGCAGAUAAGACAGACCCAGUCCAUUUCUUUGAGAAAUAGGCCUUGACAAGGGCAGUCAUCUGAACGUGAUAUAUAUAUUUCAGGAACUGAAUGUCAGAGAAGAUCUGUAUUCUAUGCAUGCUGGGUGAAUGUAUAAUGAAGUAUAGAAAUAUCAUAGCCCUUUCUAAGUAAACGUAUAAGAGAAUAAGACUUGGGUUGGAUUUUGUAAUCUCAGUAGGGAGCUAAAGUAGAUAGAUUAGAUUAAGGUUUAUUGGCAAAAGUGCUGACCCUGAAUGAAGACUUAAGUUUCAGUCUCAGAGCUACCCACGGCUAAACAUUUAACAUUAUGUUUCCUCUAAGCCUCAUUUUUUUCUCAUACAGAAUGAGGCUGUGGGACCAGUUGAAUAUUUUUUAGACAUCGCUAAGUCCUUUAUUGUUCUGUGAGGCCAAGAUGCUGUUCUCAUCAAUUUGAGAUUUCUGGUAGAAUUAAUAGGACUCCUAAUGUAAUUUUUAAAUAUUAGAAGAUUUAUUAUGAUUUGAAGCUAUUAGAGAAAAAUUCUGUUCUUAAAUCUUUAAAAAGAACUUUUUUCUCCACCAGCAAAAACAAAUCUAAAUCUUUAAAAAGAACUUUUUUCUCCACCAGCAAAAACAAAUCUUGGCACAUGAAAUACUUCUUUUUUUUUUUUCUGUUUUAAAGUGUUUGCGUUUUUGUCCCCAUGUAAGAAAUUCUUUUCAUCAAAUAUGUAAUGGGUAUCUACUAGAUGCAGGACCCUGUGCCUAAUGCUUUAGGGGAAAAAAAAGUAGUGUUUCUGAGCAUUUAAAAAUAAAUGUUCCAUUCUGAUAAUUUCAAAAUAGAGUACUCAGAGAAUCUGAUGUCUUCCCUCUCAGUGCCCCGUUUUAUUAUUGUUGUACCAGUCAGAAUACUUGGUCAAGUUGCAUGUUUUGUAAUUAUUACUAGUAAGACAUGCAUAUUUUUUACUUUUACAAAUUUGAAACUAUAUAAAUAUAAAAUGCUUUUCAAAAACUAUACCCCUUGCACUGAGGAGCUGAUUGCUGUGUUGGCAAUAUCAAGACUAAAAGACUAAAAGAUAAGACACCAUCCCUUUUUUUGAAGAUUUUAUAGUUCAGAGAGUGGAUUAGACAGCUUCAAAAAAAAAAAAAAUCUGUACUAUAGACCUAAUGUAGUAAAAGCUAUUAAGUUACACAGAGGUUUGGGGGAGAGAGCCAACAUUCAUUCAGUCAGGGAUGUCAGGAAACAAUGGGAAGAACUGAAGUUGAAGCAGACAUAAUUACUUUGUCUAUGUUUUCAUUCAACAAAUACACACUUAAUCUGUGCUUAUUCUCUACCAGCACUGUGGAUAAGCUGAUUGAAGGGAAGGUGAAUGAAAAUUUUGCCUUUAAAAGAACCAAAAGCAACCUUAUGCUUGUUGGGUUAAUAGCAUUCUUUCAUCUAGUAAAAUAUUUGGUUGCAAAACCAACAGGACAGUUUUACAGGACACAUAGAUACAGUGUAACAAGUUUCACAAUAUCUAUGAACACAUCUGAUGUGUGCCCUAGUCACUUAAUCACCUUUGUGGUUAUUUGGUAAAAUUCUUCUGUUAUGCUCAUAAAAUUCUCCUGCAUCUCACAAAGCAUAUAUAUUCCACAUAUAUUCCAAUGAUUAUUAAAUCUUUUCAGGGGUGGAGAGCUAGUCUGAUUUUUCUGGCCAUCUGUGGCCCAUUAUUCACAGCAAAUUUUAGCCUUCCUAGAACCUAGCUAGUCUAAAAUUUCAUUUGUCUUAUUGUUGAUUUUAGUAUUAUUGAUCACAUUUGAUUUAUAACAGUGUAUAUAGUAAACAGUGGUGGCAAACAUGAUUUCCACUCUCAGAUCAAACUGAAUGCACAGAUUGAAGAUUAUUUGGUUUAUCAGCACACUGUAAACAGCACUUGAGAAUAGGCCUCUUGGUUAAACUACUGUCAAAACAAAAAUAAAUCAAUAAUUACAGUAUAGCAUGACUUGUGCCAUAUUUUGCUGUGUGCAUGCAAAGAGAGGUCAGAUUGGACGUGUGAACCCAGUUAGAAUUUGGCUACACUAGCAUUCAGGUAGAAGAUAUUAAGUCCCUGAAGUAAGCUGUUGGUAGAAACAAAAAAAGAA